rnacentral:rRNA from 1 species
AACGAACGCUGGCGGCAUGCCUAACACAUGCAAGUCGAACGAGACCUUCGGGUCUAGUGGCGCACGGGUGCGUAACGCGUGGGAACCUGCCCUUAGGUUCGGAAUAACUCCCCGAAAGGGGUGCUAAUACCGGAUAAUGUCUUCGGACCAAAGAUUUAUCGCCUUUGGAUGGGCCCGCGUUGGAUUAGCUAGUUGGUAGGGUAAAAGCCUACCAAGGCUACGAUCCAUAGCUGGUCUGAGAGGAUGAUCAGCCACACUGGGACUGAGACACGGCCCAGACUCCUACGGAAGGCAGCAGUGGGGACUAUUGGACAACGGGCGAAAGCAUUAUCCAGCAAAGCCGCGUGAGUGAUGAAGGCCGUAGGGUUGUAAAGCUCUUUUACCCGGGAUGAUAAUGACAGUACCGGGAGAAUAAGCUCCGGCUAACUCCGUG